rnacentral:rRNA from 1 species
GACGAACGCUGGCGGCGUGCUUAACACAUGCAAGUCGAACGGAAAGGCCCUGCUUUUGUGGGGUGCUCGAGUGGCGAACGGGUGAGUAACACGUGAGUAACCUGCCCUUGACUUUGGGAUAACUUCAGGAAACUGGGGCUAAUACCGGAUAGGAGCUCCUGCUGCAUGGUGGGGGUUGGAAAGUUUCGGCGGUUGGGGAUGGACUCGCGGCUUAUCAGCUUGUUGGUGGGGUAGUGGCUUACCAAGGCUUUGACGGGUAGCCGGCCUGGGAGGGUGACCGGCCACAUUGGGACUGAGAUACGGCCCAGACUCCUACGUGAGGCAGCAGUGGGGAAUAUUGCACAAUGGGCGGAAGCCUGAUGCAGCGACGCCGCGUGCGGGAUGACGGCCUUCGGGUUGUAAACCGCUUUCGCCUGUGACGAAGCGUGAGUGACGGUAAUGGGUAAAGAAGCACCGGCUAACUACGUG